UACGAAGGGGGCUAGCGUUGUUCGGAAUCACUGGGCGUAAAGCGCACGUAGGCGGAUUGUUAAGUCAGGGGUGAAAUCCCGGGGCUCAACCCCGGAACUGCCUUUGAUACUGGUAGUCUCGAGUCCGGAAGAGGUGAGUGGAAUUCCGAGUGUAGAGGUGAAAUUCGUAGAUAUUCGGAGGAACACCAGUGGCGAAGGCGGCUCACUGGUCCGGUACUGACGCUGAGGUGCGAAAGCGUGGGGAGCAAACAGG
rnacentral:rRNA from 1 species